rnacentral:rRNA from 1 species
UACGGGGGAUGCAAGCGUUAUCCGGAUUUAUUGGGUUUAAAGGGUGCGUAGGCUGUGAGGUAAGUCAGCGGUGAAAUGCCCCCGCUCAACGGGGUGAAGUGCCAUUGAUACUGCCUUGCUGGAAUGCGGAUGCCGUGGGAGGAAUGUGUGGUGUAGCGGUGAAAUGCAUAGAUAUCACACAGAACACCGAUCGCGAAGGCAUCUCACGAAUCCGCUAUUGACGCUGAUGCACGAAAGCGUGGGUAUCAAACAGG